GCGUCAAUACUCGGCGGACAUUUUGGAUCUGGCGGAAGUAGAAUAGGUGAUGCUUGGGAUUUUUGAAACUGUGGAGAGUUUACACUGUCAUCAAAUUACGACUUAAGGUGUGAAGUCAGGGGAAAACGGAAUUUGUGAAGUGACCAAGGAAGGCUGUCUUGACCGAUCUCGGUACUUUUUACCAGGUUGAAGAGGCAAUGGCUGCAAUUUGGUGGAGAGCCUUUUCCUUAUUGCUGCUGUCCGCGAUAGCCGUGGAAGGCAGCACGUAUUACAUGGACAGGUAUACAGGGUCGUGUUCUUCAUACUCUUACAAGUACACAUAUUCCACUAGUCACACAGUGAAGGCGUGGUACCCCGGCAACAGUUACAUGUCCUCUUCCUACUGCUCUCUGGUUUUCUACGCCUC